AAACGAUGUACACUAGGUCCGGGAGGUUCUGACACCCUCCGGGCCGAAGGAAAACCAUUAAGUGUACCGCCUGGGGAGUACGGUCGCAAGGCUAAAACUCAAAGGAAUUGACGGGGGCUCACACAAGCGGUGGAGCAUGUGGCCUAAUUCGAGGCAACGCGAAGAACCUUAUCCUGGGUUUGACAUGUUGUGUUCAUCCAUGGAAACAUGGUGUCCUUCGGGAGAACAACACAGGUGCUGCAUGGCUGUCGUCAGCCCGUGCCGUGAGGUGUUAGGUUAAGUCCUUCAACGAGCGAAACCCUUGCCACUAGUUGCCAGCGAGUCAAGUCGGGGACUCUAGUGGGACUGCCGAUGUCAAAUCGGAGGAAGGUGGGGAUGACGUCAAGUCAUCAUGGCCUUUAUGCCCAGGGCUGCACACGUGCUACAAUGGCGCGUACAGAGUGAAGCAAUGCCGCGAGGCGGAGCAAAUCGCAAAAAACGCGCCCCAGUUCGGAUUGCAGUCUGCAACUCGACUGCAUGAAGCCGGAAUCGCUAGUAAUCGCGUAUCAGCAACGACGCGGUGAAUACGUUCCUGAGCAUUGUACACACCGCCCGUCAAGUCAUGGAAGCCGGGAGUGCCCGAA
rnacentral:rRNA from 1 species